GGGUGAGUAACGCGUGGGUAACCUGCCUUACACUGGGGGAUAACACUUAGAAAUAGGUGCUAAUACCGCAUAAUAGGAGAAGACGCAUGUCUUAUCCUUGAAAACUCCGGUGGUGUAAGAUGGACCCGCGUCUGAUUAGCCAGUUGGCGGGGUAACGGCCCACCAAAGCGACGAUCAGUAGCCGGCCUGAGAGGGUGAACGGCCACAUUGGGACUGAGACACGGCCCAAACUCCUACGGGAGGCAGCAGUGGGGAAUAUUGGACAAUGGGGGGAACCCUGAUCCAGCGACGCCGCGUGAGUGAAGAAGUAUCUCGGUAUGUAAAGCUCUAUCAGCAGGGAAGAAAGAAAUGACGGUACCUGACUAAGAAGCCCCGGCUAACUACGUGCCAGCAGCCGCGGUAAUACGUAGGGGGCAAGCGUUAUCCGGAUUUACUGGGUGUAAAGGGAGCGUAGACGGCUGAGCAAGUCUGAAGUGAAAGGCGGGGGCCCAACCCCCGGACUGCUUUGGAAACUGUAUAGCUAGAGUGCAGGAGAGGUAAGUGGAAUUCCUGGUGUAGCGGUGAAAUGCGUAGAUAUUAGGAGGAACACCAGUGGCGAAGGCGGCUUACUGGACUGUAACUGACGUUGAGGCUCGAAAGCGUGGGGAGCAAACAGGAUUAGAUACCCUGGUAGUCCACGCCGUAAACGAU
rnacentral:rRNA from 1 species